ensembl:lncRNA FRMD6-AS2 FRMD6 antisense RNA 2
AGACUCUGAGGACCCAGGAGCCUCCAUGGGUACACUCAGAGGCCACACUAGAUGCAAAAAGAACCAUUUACAGAGAAGUGAGAGGUUCUCAAAGGCUCAACCAAAUGCCUCUGCCAGGAGAAUCUUUCAGAGUGUCCUGGAACAUUGGAAAUAGGCUUAAAGCUUAAAUGAUGAAUCAGAAGAGUUAUGCUGUAUUCUAAUGCUGCCACUAGGGCCACACAGGGUGCCAACAUCCAAUCUCAAGAUCUUCGGGAAAUAUGCUCACCCUCCAAAAUACUUACAGAUGUGUCUCCUCUUUUUUGUAAAAUAAAUGCUCUUCUUAUAUUUGGUGUUUCCUUGGUAUGGCCACAAGAUUAUUUAGUAUGACAUAUUUAAUGGUGAAGAUAAAGGGUCUUUAAUGGCUUCAGAAGUGCCCUGGGCUGAAACUUGAUCUGAGAAGGUUAUUAUCAGAACUGUGUUCCAAGAGAAAGCAGUGUGCUAGCUCUACAUGUAUACAUGAGUUGCCAUCAACAUGAAUUCAAUUACAAUGAAGAUAAUUUGGAGUAGACAAUUGUAUUUUGGUUGCAUGACAUCCAUUUUAU